rfam:Peptococcaceae bacterium BRH_c23 BRHa_1002112, whole genome shotgun sequence.
UCGUCCGUGAGGAGGGGUCCGGAGGGUCUGAAGGCAAACUGUGGAACGGAGCGAAAGCGAACCGAUGCUGGCUGGUUUGGUGGGUAACUUUGCAAGAUGUGAGAAAGCCCGAUAAAUGGAAA